GGAUUAUAUACCCUGGUAGUCCUAGCAGUAAACGAUGUGCACUAGGUGUUGGGUGUAUCGACUCACUCAGUGCCGCAGUUAACGCAUUAAGUGCACCGCCUGGGGAGUACGACCGCAAGGUUGAAACUCAAAGGAAUUGACGGGGACCCGCACAAGCGGUGGAGCAUGUGGUCUAAUUCGAAACAACGCGAAGAACCUUACCCAGCCUUGACAUUCUAUGGACAGCUCUUGAAAGAGAGUUUUCCUUCGGGACCGUAGAACAGGUGUUGCAUGGCUGUCGUCAGCUCGUGUUG
rnacentral:rRNA from 1 species